rnacentral:rRNA from 1 species
GACGGACGCUGGCGGCGUGCUUAACACAUGCAAGUCGAACGGAAAGGCCCUGCUUUUGUGGGGUGCUCGAGUGGCGAACGGGUGAGUAACACGUGAGUAACCUGCCCUUGACUUUGGGAUAACUUCAGGAAACUGGGGCUAAUACCGGAUAGGAGCUCCUGCUGCAUGGUGGGGGUUGGAAAGUUUCGGCGGUUGGGGAUGGACUCGCGGCUUAUCAGCUUGUUGGUGGGGUAGUGGCUUACCAAGGCUUUGACGGGUAGCCGGCCUGAGAGGGUGACCGGCCACAUGGGGACUGAGAUACGGCCCAGACCCCUACGGGGGGCAGCAGGGGGGAAUAUUGCACAAGGGGCGGAAGCCUGAUGCAGCAACGCCGCGGGGGGGAUGACGGCCUUCGGGUUGUAAACCGCUUUCGCCUGUGACGAAGCGUGAGUGACGGUAAUGGGUAAAGAAGCACCGGCUAACUACGU